UUUUCUUUUUCUUUUUUUAAUUAAGGUGCUAAUCUUUUUGAGCCUCAAUUUCCUUUUUUAUAAUUUGGAAAUAAUUGGAGUUAAUAAUACUUCACUAGAUUGUUAGACUGAUAUAUUCGUAAUAAAUGUAAAUGCCCAUAAUAGGCACGAUAGCCGCAUGACGAAAGAAGGUGGUUAUUAUUAGAGUAGCCCCAAUUGAUGCUAUUACAGAUCUUUCAUCUCCCUACUUACCCCAUUUUGCUUUCUCCUUCUUGGCAGGUGGCCCUGAUUCCUGUUUCACUGAGAUAAAAAAAUAUCCCGCUCCAGCAACCCUCUGCCACUCUGCUCAAAGUAUUGCUGUCUACCAUCCAUUUUGUGAAUGUUUCAUGUACCCAAAGGAAGAGGGGUCCGUUCUCCCUUCCCAGAACAACCCUGGGACCUUCAGGCUUCAUCUCGCCCUUGUCCAGAUCUUCCUCCCCUCCCUGUGCGACCUUUAAAGAUUAAGUACUUUAUGAAGUGGGAUUUAGUCAUGCAGAUGCAGUACAACAUUACCGGGAGCUAGUAAACAGUGCUGCAUAUUUUUCAUAUUAAAAGAUCCAGGAGCAGAAGAUGUCUUUCCUGAAAUAAAUGAAAUCCAGAACUUGUCAAGACGGAUCAGUAAAUCUUAUCUUCAGUACAUGAUCAGACUGCAGCUCAAAGUUCUCUCAAAGUCAUGUUCUCAAGCUGAGCAGAAGAUUCGUUGAAAGGGUCUUCACCAAGUUGUUCACUUGUGUUAACAGGGAGGGACUGUACCAUCAGUUUUGUUCUGUGGGUCUCCCAGGUGGUUUUCAAUAACAUACAAGACUUAUAGAGACCCUUCAUCACCUUCAAAUCCAAUGAACAGUGGAAACAUGUCAAGAUUUCCUUUUGCAACAUUAUUUUUCAAAAUAUUUCAUAUCUUUAAAAUCCAAGAACCUUACCACUUGAAGUUAAAACAUUUUCUGUGGAGUCUGGUGAUUCAUCUUUUAGCCCAAACUCUUGCUGAGAACUCUCCCUCUGCUAAGCCACCAAAUUUCUGUUUGUGGCAGGAGAUUUAUAUGCUCUUUGACAAGACAUUUACACAGUUUUAAAAACAUUUUCAGAUAAAUUGUUCUCUGUUUAAUAAAGUUGGCCA